CCUACGGGAGGCAGCAGUGAGGAAUAUUGGUCAAUGGGCGCGAGCCUGAACCAGCCAAGUAGCGUGAAGGAUGACUGCCCUACGGGUUGUAAACUUCUUUUAUAAAGGAAUAAAGUGAGGCACGUGUGCCUUUUUGUAUGUACUUUAUGAAUAAGGAUCGGCUAACUCCGUGCCAGCAGCCGCGGUAAUACGGAGGAUCCGAGCGUUAUCCGGAUUGAUUGGGUUUAAAGGGAGCGUAGAUGGGUUGUAAAUUCACUUGUGAAAGUUUGCGGCUCAACCGUAAAAUUGCAAUUGAUACUGGCAGCCUGGAGUACAGUUGAGGUAGGCGAAAUUCGUGGUGUAGCGGUGAAAUGCUUAGAUAGCACGAAGAACUCCUAUUGCGAAGGCAGCCUACUAAACUGCCACUGACAUUGCUGCUCGAAAGUGUGGGUAUCAAACAGGAUUAGAUACCCGAGUAGUC
rnacentral:rRNA from 1 species